AGGUUUCCACGUCUGAAGACUUGUUGCUGUUGCUUUUCCGUCAAAACCGGUGCCAAGGUGAUUGGAUGGACCUCACUGAUUUACAGGGCAAUCGAAAUGCAGUUUUAUAUACACAACAUAGUAACAAUGUCACCCGAUGAAAAUUUAGGUCCUGAUAUGGAUAAAGCAAUCGGCUAUAUGAGAAGGAAUUUUCCUGUUGGUGAUAAUUUUCCAAACCAUCCAAUGUGCAUUCACUGUCAGUUUCCUGGUA